UUGUUGUUCUCAUACAGCUGAAUACAGUUGUUUGCAUAUUGCACAGCGCUGGGGCUUUUCCUCUUCCUCUUAACUCUGUUUGGGCUCCAUUGUACAUGUGCCUGUGAGGGAAGUCGUGUUCUCAGUCAGCACCCAAAUUGGUGUAACUUCCCCUGGGCAGUGGCUCCCAGAACUGCUGGGGAAGGGGAAGGGCUGAGGCUGCUCUGUGGGGACCUCAGAACUUCCCCUGCAUUUGUUCUCCUCCCCUGGUUCCUCACACUGCUGCUGUCAUGGGACAUGUACCAGCUGGGGUGUCUGCCACAGGGGAUGUUCAUGUCCACUUGAGAGGAGCCAUGGGCUUCCUGUGAAAUCCCCCGAUGAAGUAACAACUCUCACGCCAUCCAAACUACUAUGCAUGUACCCGGCAUGGCCCAGCCUCUCGUCAGCCCCGCCGCAGGAGGUGACCAUAGGCAGCCCCACUGGCCCUGCCUGCGCAUGGGAAGUGGUUACCCCUCACUCCCCUCUGCUGGGAGCUGUGCCACUGGCUGCAGUAGGGAGGGGAGAGGAGGAAAGUGACCCGUUUCUGCCUGCAGCUGUGCCAGUGCAUCCCAAACCUUGGUUCAGCGCAGGUGAGACCCAGAAACUUGCCAAGUUGGUCCUUCUCUCCAAAGCUGCUCACCCUUUUCUGCAGGAUGGAGCCCAAACCCACAGGCAGGCUUCCUUGGGUUUUGUAAGGUUUGACCUACAAGGGACUGGUAGAGUCUGUAAGGCCGUUGUGGAUGUGUCCCUAAUGUACAGAUCAUCUUUCUCACAAUGCAUUGAAUAAUUUCUGAGCUGGAAGAGUGGAGAGAGCCUGUGCCUGGGAACCAGGCGAGCCACCCCCUCUCUGUGUGUACUGGUUUAUGUCCUGCACUGUUCUUAUGGGCUCUAGUCCUACUGUGAAUUCCACUGACAGCAGUAAAACACUGACAACUCCCCCAGGUGGACCUGAGCAGGAUCAGAGCUCUUGGGAGAUGAAAGCAAGUCCGAUGGUGCGAAAGAUGUAUUUUCUCUUAUCCCAAAGCCUCCUUUUGCCCUAGACACGAUUAUUGCAAGUGCAACAGGUCAAUGUAGGUUCCAGCCCUGUAAGAGGAUGCACCAGUUAAUGCAGCAAACUUCAGAAAUUCCCUUUCCUUUCUCUGAAGUCACUUUAAUCCCUUGAGUGUCCAGAGAUUAAAAGAUAUUUGAUGACCAUCCUAAACAUUCAUUGCACAUUUCCGGUAUCCAGCUGACCUCAAAUCCUGAAUGCAAUGAAUUUGCAUUUGCUUCUAAAAGUGUCUCAUUUUGUGAAUCAAACUGUCAUCACAUUUGAAAAUGAGACAUUUGUAUCUCUUGGAGUUUAAACUGCGGGAUCAAUUUCCCAUUAAUACUAAGGGUGUUUAAAGGACAAAUUCUCUGCCUACUGCAGUGAAAAUUUACCCCGAGGUAUGACAUUUCACCUGCCACCGAGUAUAAGAGGGCUGAAUAUAAUGGACUGGAAUAGCUAGAUUUGCACAUGCUGGUAACAAAAGCGGGUGAGCAGUGGAGGAUCCCAUUACAGAAAACCUUUCCUAUUUGUUUUCUCCUCCUCUUUUUUCAGCCUUCAAAACAUGCAUGCUCUUUGCAGUUUAUAGAACUGCACUAUUCAAUAGCCUGUGCCUGAAUUGUCGCAAUUUAAUCAUGUACCAUAUGAGUGGAUAAAGAUAGCCCUGAAGAGCUUCCACUCAGAAGGGCAUGAAGAAAUGGGAGCACUAGGGUACAUACCAAGCCUCAGAGCUGAGCAGCAGCCACACUGCCUGGCUCCAGCUUCACCAGUUCCUGUGCAGGACUGCAGAGCUACGAGUCCCAUCACAUGCUCUUCUGGUCACAGCUAUGCUGAUGGGCAGGGCUUUGCCACAGCUUGGCUCUGCUCCUCGGUGUGUCUCCAUCCUGUGUUAGAAGAGAGGAGGAGGACAGUUGGCAAGCCUCAACCCCCUCCUCCUCAAUGAAAUAUGGAGGCAACUGGAGUGAGCCAGCAGCAAGCUAAAGCACACAGAAUAGCUGCAGAUAAUGUGAACCCAGGGGCAUGGUGAACCUGAGCCUCUGCUGAGGCAUGUUUCCCUGAGGAAGUGCCAACAUAACCUCGGAAAACAUACCAUGGAAUUGCACCAUACUGUCCCUCCCUUGUGCUAUCAUGGAAACCAGAUGCCAGGAUGGAAAAGCACCAGGAGCUGAAUAUAAAAGCUUCAAGUGUCAGAGAGCCCUGCUCAGCCCUACCUUCUGCUGCAGGCCAUCUAUGCUUCCUGGCAUUCCCUGGUCUCUUGCCAAUUCCCAUCAACAGCUGUGGUUUGUGGUUGUAAUGCUCAGCAUUUGUCUUCUCUUUCUCCUAGCAGACCUGCAUCAAAGCUGGAUGUGCAGCAUGUAGCAGUUUGGGAGUCCCAGAAUUGGCCUCCAAGCACAAAACCAAAUCCUUCCUUACUGCUUUAUCUUCCCCAAAGUCUGAGAUGCUGCAAGAGUGAGUCUGUAACUCUUCCAGGCCCUCCUAAUGGACUGUGUGAGGAAAGGACAACAUAAGGUUGGUAAGAGACAACAGCAUCAUUGGGUGGAAAAGCUGUGCUUCAGGGGGAAGGUUUUCAAAUGUUCUGCAUUGAACAAAUUAAAGAUUUAUUGCAGAAUAAACCUGCAGCCAUUCCUUCUCCCUGACAGUCACUCUAUUGUAAUUUCAUCCCUUUGCAGCCUUUCCAAACCCAUCCAUUUCUUCUGAAACUUUUGUCCAAGCCCGCGUUUGACAUGAGGUCUUUUCCUGCACUAAGGUCUCCUGCUCUGCCGUAUUUCAUGGUAGCCAUUCAGCCUUCCAGUGGGGACACAUGCCCCCUCUUUGCCAUCUGGCCACAUUCAAGUCCUCAGAGUGCAGUCCCCUCUGUGCUAAACCCACGCUUGUCACACUCAUCUGCAAAGCUUCUCACAAGCUCAGGGCCAGAGCCUGUCAUCUGAACACACUGAGUUAUGCCUCAGGACAGAAGUGACCCCAUUAAAACCAUUUAGAAGCACA